GGUAAUCUACCGUCGAGCGAGGAAUAACACUCCGAAAGGAGUGCUAAUACCUCAUAAGACCACGAAUCCUUCGGGAGCCGCGGUAAAAGGUGGCCUCUGCAUGCACGCUAUCACUCGACGAUGAGCCCGCGUCCCAUUAGCUAGUUGGUAGGGUAACGGCCUACCAAGGCGACGAUGGGUAGCUGGUCUGAGAGGAUGACCAGCCACACUGGGACUGAAACACGGCCCAGACUCCUACGGGAGGCAGCAGUGGGGAAUCUUGCGCAAUGGGCGAAAGCCUGACGCAGCAACGCCGCGUGGAGGAUGAAGGCCUUCGGGUCGUAAACUCCUGUCGGGCGGAACGAAACGCUCGAGGGUGAACAAUCCUCGGGCUUGACGGUACCGCCAAAGGAAGCACCGGCCAACUCUGUGCCAGCAGCCGCGGUAAUACAGAGGGUGCGAGCGUUGUUCGGAAUUACUGGGCGUAAAGCGCGUGUAGGCGGCCAGGCAAGUCGGAUGUGAAAGCCCUGGGCUUAACCCAGGAAGUGCAUUCGAAACUGUCCGGCUCGAGUACGGGAGAGGGAGGUGGAAUUCCCAGUGUAGAGGUGAAAUUCGUAGAUAUUGGGAGGAACACCGGUGGCGAAAGCGACCUCCUGGACCGAUACUGACGCUGAGACGCGAAAGCGUGGGGAGCAAACAGGAUUAGAUACCCUGGUAGUCCACGCUGUAAACGAUGGGCGCUAGGUGUGGCGGGUAUUGACCCCUGCCGUGCCGCAGCUAACGCAUUAAGCGCCCCGCCUGGGAAGUACGGCCGCAAGGCUAAAACUCAGAGGAAUUGACGGGGGCCCGCACAAGCGGUGGAGCAUGUGGUCUAAUUCGAUGCAACGCGAAGAACCUUACCUGGGCUUGACAUCCUCUGA
rnacentral:rRNA from 1 species